CACAGUGGACUUAAACCUUACAGCUGUGAUGAGUGUGGAAAGUCUUUUACCCGGGCUGGAGGCUUAAAAACACACCAACUCAUCCACAGUGGAUUUAAACCUUACAGCUGUGACUUGUGUGGAAAUUCCUUUACCAAGGCUGGAGCCUUAAAAAGACACCAACUCAUCCACAGUGGACUUAGACCUUACAGCUGUGACUUGUGUGGAAAGUCUUUUACCCUGGCUGGAGGCUUAAAAACACACCAACUCAUCCACAGUGGAGUUAAACCGUACAGCUGUGAUUUGUGUGGAAAGUCUUUUAGCCAUUGUCAAGGCUUAAAAAAACACCAUGUCAUGCACAGUGGAGUUAAAGAGUACAGCUGUGAAUUGUGUGGUAAAGCUUUUGCUCAAAGGCACGGCUUACAGAAGCAUCUAGUUACCCACUCUGGAAUUAAGGCGUACAGCUGCGACCUUUGUGGAAAAAGGUUCAGCAACAAACACUACCGAAAUAUUCACCUGCGGAUUCACACUGGACAUGAUGUUUACUUCUGUGAUCAGUGUGGGAAACUGUUUACAACAGAAGCACAGUUAAAAAUACACAUGUUUAGCCACACUGAGGAGAGACCUUAUAAAUGUGACCUGUGUGAGAAGACUUUUAAAUCUCCACAUCACCUGAAAAAACACCAACGGAUCCACACCAGCAAGUAACUCUACAAGUGCAGUUACUGUGAGCUGAGUAACAGGAGAAGAGUCUGGUGGAGCAACAGAGGAACAAUUUCAGCCAUUUGGACUCAGCUCAGCCACUACAGAGGAAACAAUGACUUCAACACAAAAGGACCAACAUGGAGCGAGAAGUCAGCGCUCUCAGGAGGCCGACAAACCUCACAGAAGAAAGGGAGAG